CUUUCACUGUGAUAUUGUUUUUUUUUAUUCAUAGUUUGUGCACCAUUAGUUAUAAUCUAAUAAAAAAAAUGAACAAAAAAGUGUGUGUAUAUGGAGUUCAAUUGGUUCAUGUUUAUUGUCUUGCUUCUUAGGAUUUUUUAUUUGUUUCAUGAUAGAGCAGUAUAUGAAGUUCAAUUGAAUGGGCCUUUUAAUAGAUGUACAUUAUACUUUGCUAACUAUAUAUCAAUUACAAAUGGACAUGUAUAGUGGUUUGGCCAGUCGUUUUAAUGAUAUAACAAUUAUGUUGGGCUUAUGAAAGGUAAUAACCUCAUGCUGUGGUGGUGAUGUUGCUGGUUGUUAACUUGCACUACCCAGUGUUGCUUCUCGUUCGGUAUGUUUUUUUUCUUCUUUUCUUUGUUACUUCUCUGUCAUAUGUCUGGUGAUGACGCGUGCAUAGUUUCAUUGGAAAGGUGUACGCGCUUUUAUAUCUUUCAUCUUCUUCAUUUGUUCAGCCUCCUUUCUUCGUGUCUUUUCUCUUCUUGAUGUCAGUUCUUUAAGGGAAUAUUAGCAGGAGGGACUGCGAAGAUUGUGGUGAAUGGGUCAACCGGGUUUCAGCAAAAUCUGGGAAGCUAUGAACGUAUGCAAGAAUGUUAUUGGGCAGAGAGAACAAGAAAUGCAAACUUUUACUUUGCUACUACUGCAAUGGCUCUUGCUUGCUUUAAGGUUGGUUAGUCUUUGGGUUUGAAUUCCUAUUGGAAGCUUAGAGAUUAAAAUAUACUCUUUGAUAUCGGUUCAAGCAAAGCCGGCAUGUCUAUUUUUAUAUAGAAUUGAACACAUCAAGCUGUAAGUGGGUUGUGUUACUUGAACCGAACAUGAUAUAUUGAUAAAAAAAGAAAUUUUGAACAACGGGCAUGAUGUUCCUUUUUAGAUAUCAAAUGUGGAACUGUUU